AUCACUGCCCGUUUUCAAUCUAUAACAUUAGCCCUCUUUCCUUUCGUUUCGCCAAAACCCUAACCUUCGAAGCGCCUCUCCCAUCCCUCCGCUUCCUCGCGAUUCGUAGUUCCCCGACGGUGAGCCCAAGAAAUCUGCGGAGAUGAGCAGCCGAGCGAGCAGGACUGUGUACGUCGGGAACCUCCCCGGAGACAUCCGCGAGAGGGAAGUCGAGGACUUGUUCCGAAAGUAUGGACCAAUUGUUCACAUUGACCUGAAGAUCCCUCCUAGGCCCCCAGGUUAUGCCUUUGUUGAGUUUGAAGAUGCUCGAGAUGCUGAAGAUGCAAUUCAUGGUCGUGAUGGCUAUGACUUUGAUGGGCACCGUUUAAGGGUGGAGCUUGCUCAUGGUGGUCGUGGACACUCAUCAUCAUCUGACCGCUAUAGUAGUUAUGGCGGUGGUCGAGGCUCACGUGGAGUUUCAAGGCGUUCGGAGUAUCGGGUGCUUGUUACUGGAUUGCCCUCUUCUGCUUCAUGGCAAGACCUUAAGGAUCACAUGCGUCGGGGAGGAGAUGUCUGUUUCUCUCAAGUUUUCCGUGAUGAAAAUGGCACAACAGGGAUUGUGGACUACACUAACUAUGAAGACAUGAAGUAUGCCAUUAAGAAACUUGAUGAUUCAGAGUUCCGAAAUUCUUUUUCUCGGGCAUAUAUUCGUGUUAAGGAGUAUGAUUCAAAGCGGGAUGCAUCUAUUAGUCCUAGUCGUGGUCGAUCUCGUUCAAGAGGACGGAGCUACAGUCGCAGUCCCAGCAGAAGUCGUGGUCGCAGUUACAGUCGGAGCAGGAGUCCAAGGAAGUCUCCGAAAUCCAAAUCUUCUAAGAGGUCGCCUGUUCGGUCUCGGUCCAUUUCUCGCUCUCGGUCUCCAUCUAAAUCGAGGUCACGCUCUCCAUUAGGAUAUGGAUAUGGAUAUAUGCGGCAAACUGGGGAUUGGAUUUUAGGAUCUUGAUGGGAUAUGAUCCAGUUGCCUGCAACUUUUUGGUUGUGGAGAUUGGGACAAAGGAGAUCAUGGAUUGGAUUAACAAAGCUCGAUAUCUCUGAACUUAUUGCAUGGGGAUUUGGAAGUCACCUUCAAUGAGCGGUAGAAACAUUUGCUUUGUCAUGUCUACUCCAAGAACUGGCCAAGCUUGUAGGAUGUUCUGUCUGGGCUCCAUUGCAUAAUUGUGGAACUUGAGGGUGACUGCUCCUGUUCUGCCAGUGCUUUACUAUUUAUUAACAGCUUUUUCCUUUUUCCCUAACAAUUCUUACCUCAUCUUAUCCAGCUUUAAUGUUAUACUGUGGGUCUGAUAUGUUUUUUUGUUGAGUGACCAAGAUUUAUGGCUUUUUAUUCCUUGUGAAUUGGUAACUCUGACGUGGAAGAGGCAUCAAGGCUCUUGGAUGAAAGUUGUUAAAAGGAACGAGUGGAUUUUAAAUUGGGUUGUUUCUGGAACUUUUGCAGAUCCCGUUCAAGAUCCAGAUCUCCGUUGCCUUCUCAUGAAAAACAGAUGAGCAAGAGCCCAAAGAAGAGAAGUCCUAGCAGGAGCCGUAGCCCAAGCAGGAGCAGGAGCCGGAGCAGGAGUCCAUCUCGGUGAGGGAGAGUUGUAUCGUGCCCAGCAGGAGUCUGUGGGAAGAUAUGAUCUUUGGAUUGUAUUUCGAGCCUCGGUCCAUCGUUUUUUAUUACUCCAAGUGUCUGCAGACAAUGUUAAGGGAUGGUCAUUGAAGGGUCAAUGGUCGCUCAUUAUUUGUUUUAGUUACGGAAUCUUGCUAGUUUGUCUAGAAUGAACUUGGACUAGAACUUAAGAUGAUUGUCGGGAUGCUGUUUGUAUUAGUUUUUGGAUGUUUUCUUAGUUGAUGCGACGCUGAGUGAUGAUAUUUUGCUCUCUAGUGAGAUUGUGUUGACUCUUCACUGUUCUGUUGGUCACCUUUUGAAUUCAUAGAAGAUGCAUAGACUGAUUUUUAA